UACGGAGGGAGCUAGCGUUGUUCGGAAUUACUGGGCGUAAAGCGCGCGUAGGCGGCUUUGUAAGUUAGAGGUGAAAGCCCGGGGCUCAACUCCGGAAUUGCCUUUAAGACUGCAUCGCUAGAAUCCGGGAGAGGUGAGUGGAAUUCCGAGUGUAGAGGUGAAAUUCGUAGAUAUUCGGAAGAACACCAGUGGCGAAGGCGGCUCACUGGCCCGAUACUGACGCUGAGGCACGAAAGCGUGGGGAGCAAACAGG
rnacentral:rRNA from 1 species